rnacentral:rRNA from 1 species
UACGGAGGGUGCAAGCGUUGUCCGGAAUCACUGGGCGUAAAGGGCGCGUAGGCGGCCCGGUAAGUAGGGGGUGAAAUCCUGCGGCUUAACCGCAGGGCUGCCUUCUAAACUGUCGGGCUCGAGCACGGUAGAGGCAGAUGGAAUUCCCGGUGUAGCGGUGGAAUGCGUAGAGAUCGGGAGGAACACCCGUAGCGAAGGCGGCACUCUGGGCCGGUACUGACGCUGAGGAGCGAAAGCGUGGGGAGCAAACAGG